AGGUUUAACUCCAACUAUGUACGUGGUGUCUUUUAAAUCUUUGUCUUUUUUCAAGAGAGAAGGCACAUGUUUUUUUAUCUCUUGGAGACUCUUUUUUAUACAUGGCGAUUUAGUCUUUUAUGGACACUUUUUCUGGCCGUAGAUUCCUGGUGAUGAAGUCUUUUUAUGUCCAGGGAAUGUUUGCAUAACUAACGUUCGAUGUGUUAAAAGCUUUUUUUUGUGACGCGGG
rnacentral:lncRNA from 1 species